rnacentral:rRNA from 1 species
GACGAACGCUGGCGGCGUGCUUAACACAUGCAAGUCGAACGGAAAGGCCCCCCUCUUUGUGGGGGUGCUCGAGUGGCGAACGGGUUAGUAACACGUGGGUGAUCUCCCCUGUACUUCGGGCUAAGCUUGGUAAACUGUGUCUCAUACCGGAUAGGACCAUGGUUUAGUGUCUCUUGGUGGUCAGAUUAUUGUUUUGGUCCAUGUUGGGCUUGCGGCCUGUUAGCUUGUUGGUGGGGUAAUGGCCUACCAAGGCGUCGACAGGUAGCCGGCGUGAGAGGGUGGACGGACAGAGUGGGAGUGAGGUACGGGACAGACACGUACGGGAGGAAGGAGGAGGGAAGAACGCACAACGGGAGCAAGACUGAUGAAGGCACGGCGCGGGAAGGAGGACGGCGUGCGGGUUGUAAACUCCUUUCGUUAGGAACGAAGCCUCGCUUUUAUUGGGUGUGGUGACCGUACCUUUGAUAAGAAGCACCGGCUAACUACGUG